rnacentral:rRNA from 1 species
AUGAACGCUGGCGGCGUGCCUAAUCCAUACAAGUCGAGCGAACAGACGAGGAGCUUGCUCCUCUGACGUUAGCGGCGGACGGGUGAGUAACACGUGGAUAACCUACCUAUAAGACUGGGAUAACUUCGGGAAACCGGAGCUAAUACCGGAUAAUAUAUUGAACCGCAUGGUUCAAUAGUGAAAGACGGUUUUGCUGUCACUUAUAGAUGGAUCCGCGCCGCAUUAGCUAGUUGGUAAGGUAACGGCUUACCAAGGCAACGAUGCGUAGCCGACCUGAGAGGGUGAUCGGCCACACUGGAACUGAGACACGGUCCAGACUCCUACGGGAGGCAGCAGUAGGGAAUCUUCCGCAAUGGGCGAAAGCCUGACGGAGCAACGCCGCGUGAGUGAUGAAGGUCUUCGGAUCGUAAAACUCUGUUAUUAGGGAAGAACAAAUGUGUAAGUAACUAUGCACGUCUUGACGGUACCUAAUCAGAAAGCCACGGCUAACUACGUG